UUUAUUCAAGGUAAGGAGGGAAAGUCUCCCUGAAAGAUGGCAAGUAAGCAGAGAUCUGGAGGAAGUGAGGGAGCAGGCUAUGGGGUUAUCUAAUGGAAGAGCAUUCCAGGUAGAAGGAGCAACAAAUGCAACUGUCCUGGCAUGGAAAUCUACUUGGCGUGCUCCUGAAUGUCAAGGAGUCCUGUGAUGUAGAGGGUUUGGCAUGUAGCACUCAUCGAAAGUGGUCUCGUUGCUGCUGUCUCUUUCUCUCACAAUUUGUGAUUAUCCGCAUUUCACAGAUGAAGGACUAAAGGCUCCAACGUGUGCCCUACACCUUCUCUCCUUCCUAUCCCUGAAAUUAGGAGUGAAACCUUCUGGUCCAUCAUGAGAAAGAGAGAGAGAGUAUGAGUGUCCCAGCUGCAGGGAUAUCACACUGAAUGUCAGCCAAGCAGCAGAGAUCACUUAUAAUGUGGGAAUCAUGCCUCGUAACAUUGCUACUCUUGAUGGAGGGCUGGACUUAAGAAGGAAACAGGAACUGGGGCAAAGGACAGAGGCAGGAAGGGAAGUUGGAGGUCAUUGAGAAAAAAAAAGCAGAAAGACUGGCUUCAUCACAUUGCUUGGGUUUGGCCCAGUUCACGUUGAUUGGCUGACUGUAUUAGGACAUAGUCACCUUUUCCUGUCCCUACCCUUUCUUUCCCUUCCCUUUUUUGUACCUGAGCAAGUCAGUCCUAAAGCCGUUAGAUGUUGCCAGGCAAGGCAUGUGUAUGUCUAAAGGGCCAUCCCUGCCUGGAAAGUCAGAGCCCACGGUGGAAAGAAGGAUAUCCCUGGGGAUUGGGUGGGAAGGAGGCUAACUGCUUCAUGGAUGCAAGGUUGAGUGAGGUGUGGAAGUCAAGGACAAGGGAUGAUUCUGCAUAGAUUGUGAGGAGGACCCUUUUGUGGAGGAGGGAUCACUUAUAUGCAUUGGGAUUCAUCAACUCAUCAACUAUUCACCAAAUACAUAAGAAUGCUGAGAGCCACGUCUUUCAUUUUUGGAAAAGGGAAUUUCCACUAUGGAAAGGAAGUAAACUAGAACAAAUUCUCAGGAAUUCUACUGGAAUUAAAGGUCUCCACGCAAACUUCUUGUAUUCGAUAGGUGUGCAUGUGUGGGUAGACUGAUAUAUAACUAUAGAUGUGUGUCGAUGUGUAUGUGUGUGUGAUUGUGUACACACAUAUAUUCCCAAGUUACUGAAAACAGCAACAUUCCAAUGCCACAGUUACACCAGUCCCCAGAUCCUAGCUUCUGAACACCUUUCUCCACUAAAUGAUGGGUUCCCAGGCUGAGGAAGGAAAGGAAAUGAUCCUGGUUCACCUUGUCAUGUCAGUAACAAGGCAAAGUUCAAGAAUGAUGUGGAGAUGUCAGAGGGACACAGAAUACAGCUUGAGGGCUCUCCCACCAGACACACUUAGGAUUCUCUUAUUUUUUCCACCUUUUUUGAGGUAUUAUUGACAUAUAACCUGUAAGUUUAAGAUGCCAGUGUGAUGAUUUGAUACACAUAUAUUUGGCAAAACGAUUACCACAGCAGGGUUGGCACUCUGUGCCCUCACAUAAUCCUUUUUAAAAAUUGUUGAGGAAAUAACACCUCAGAUCUACCCCCUUAGCUUUCACAGUAUUACACAGUUUUGUAAAUUAUACUCAUCAUGCUAUACAUUGGAUCCACGCAAAUUAUUCAUCUCAUACCUGGACGUUUGUACCCUGUAUUCAACAUUUUGUGCUGGCCCUGGAACCACCAUCCUAAAGUCUUGGAAAUUUCUCUUCCGUUUCCCUGGUAACGGAUCUCAGCCCUUAGCUCCAACCUCUGGUCACAGGAAUACCUGUAGCCUGGUGUGAGGCCCCCUGCCUGAGCUCAGCAACCCAGGAGGGAUGGUCAGCAGAGCAGUAACCAAGACAACGGAACUUGAUCCAUCCUCCUUCUGCCACCAGGACUGAGGGGCAUUCCCUCCCCUCCAUCUGCCUGAUUGUCUGGGUAUGCUAUUUUCUGUUCUCCAAACCAAAGAGACCAGGAUGCCAAUUCCAAAGAAUCAUCAGGACUGUUGACUAGAAGACACAAUGGAGAAUUGGAAUCAUCUUCACAGGUGAUGCAGAGCCCUCCCUUGGAUCUCACCUGCAGCAAAGCAGGCACCAAGAUCAGCUCCAGAAAACGAAAUUCCUAAACGACAGCCACCCAUCUGCCGAAAGACAACAUUGGGUCAUUUCGCAGUGUGCCCCCUGUGAGUCCCAAGUGGGAAUGGGGUGGAAUCCUCCUUGCCCUAGUCUUCCUCUUCAUUUCUUCUCACACCUCCCUGUCUGAGCCCUCUCACCUCUGCCUGCCACUGCCUCUGUGGGCCGUUUCCCCCGCUGUGACUGGGACGCUCUUUUCUUUGGCUUCUCUUUCAUUUGACCCAAGACUUCCCAUACACUAUCCAGGUCAAAGGGGGCAUAGGGUAGAAUGUGUACCUUGUCAAGUACAGUUAGGAUACUUUGGUGUCACAGAAGCCCCAGCCCCUGAAAUAUGAAAACACAGGGAUAAAGAACACAAGAAUCAUAUAUACCGAAGUUGCCAGAGAUGUUGGCUAAGAUGAGCACUGAAGAGUGUCUGCGGUAUCAGGAAGUAUCAAUUUUAAUGAUGGGCUUGACAAGGCCAGUUACAGUGGAAUGACUGGGACAAAAGAUUCAUGGAAGGGGGCUGAGUAGAGAAUAUCUCAGCAGAAUUUGAAGCAGUUUUGUUCUGAAGGGCAACCGGUGAUGUGCCAGUAGCUGCAGAAGAGGGUGGUAGAAGAGGAUGGGUUUCCCCCUUUUUUGUGGAAUGCUGCGAUGUAGAGGGAGCAGGGGCUGGUUCAGGCAAGAGGGGUGAUAACUGCAGGUUGAAAGUCCCUGGGAAGGUGCAAGGCAUGGGAUCCCGGCAGAGGUGAGGGGCUGGGUGCAGCCAGCAAAUUUGGAAAACUCACCGGUGACCACAGAGCUGGAAAAGGUCAGUUUUCAUUCCAAUCCCAAAGAAAGGAAAGGCCAAAGAACGCUCAAAGUACCGCACAAUUGCACUCAUCUC